rnacentral:lncRNA from 1 species
CCAAGAGUCAGUAGAGCCAUCUAUCGGAGAAUUGAAGAAAUACAAUCACAUAAAGGGAAAUAACUUGUACAAGCAGUUCAGCCAAAGUCCAAUUAAAAUAUUAAUUAGGCUGUUUAAUUUGCCGGUCGCUGACUCGCAGUUUAUAUCCGAAUACGGUAAGUUGGUAAAGAUUUAUUUUAAGGGUUUAAUGAUGAUAAUAAUACUAAUAAUAAUAUUGUAAAUCAAAGAAUUAUGUGAAUCUUUCGAUGCUGCAGUAAUUAUUUUUCGAGGUGAAAACCUAAGAAUACGUGGAAAUAUAUUUUUUUCGUCUUAAAUAAUAAUUUCUCAGCUGAAAUCUUGAUUUGUUGCUUAUGAAAACCUACGAUCGACUUUUAUAUGUGAUAUAAAGGAUAUUAAUUGGUAAAACGAGAGUAAAACUGUGUAAUUAAUUAGUAAAAUGAGAGGGAACCGGUUAAAGAAUAUCAUUAAUUAAUGUUGCCCUCUUAUUAAUUAGACACUGAUUAAAAGGUAAGUUGAUACAUAUUUGCUUUAAGAAUUUAAUAGCGAUAAUAAUACUAAUAAUAAUUAUUUAUAUUUAGAAUUAUGUGAAUCUUUCGAUGUUACAGUAAUUAUUUUUCGAGGUGAAAACGUAAAAAUAUAAGGAAAAUAUAUUAAUUCGUCUUAAUUAAUGAUUUCUAAGCUGAAAUCUUGAUUUGUUGCUUAUGAAAACCUACGAUCGACUUUUAUAUGUGAUAUAAAGGAUAUUAAUUUGUAAAAUGAGAGUAAAACUGUAAUUAAUUAGUAAAAUUAAAAGAAGCCGAUUGAAAUUCUUCAAUCGGCUUCUUUUAAUUUUACGAAUUAAUCACUAAUUAAUGUUGCCGUCUUGUUAAUGGGACACUAAUUAAACGGUAAGUUGAUAAAGGUUCAUUUUAAGGUUAUAUUAAUAAUAAUAAUAAUGAUGAUCAUGGUUUUAAAUUUCUACCCAUAACCAACGGUUUUUGAAGCGAGCUGGAAAUCAAUUAUAUGGAGCGCAGUGCUUCCCGUAAGGAAUGAACGGCAAAUUCGACCUCGGCCGUACUUGAACUCAGGACUUUCAGCCUUCGGUUCCUUUCGGUGUGAAUACGACGAUGUUGAUGAUGAUGAUAAUUGUUUGUACUUUAAGGCACAAGGCCUGAAAUUUAGCGGAGGAACGGGAGUCGAUUACAAGGAGGGGGGGGGCCACGUUGAUCUACUGCUUAAAUUACCGACCUCGAAAGGAUGAGAGGCAAAGUCAACCUCAAUGGAAUUUGAACUUUGAUAGCAAAGACGAACGAAAUGCUGUUAAGCAUUUUCUCCGGCAUUCUACCGCUUCUAAAUAACCCUAAACCCUUCGAAGUUACAGUAAUUCUAUAGAAAUGAAAACACAACAACAUCGGGAAAAGAUGCUUUCUCGUUUUAAAUCUAUUAUGUUCAGAAAUACCUCGGGAUCGAGUGUGUAUAUGAUAUAAAAUAAAUAGAUUAAAGAUUUGGUGGAUUAACGAUAAUUCAGAAUUGUUAGAUGUGCUUUAAAUUUAAUUACUGCAUAAUGAGACAAAGCAGCGUAAUAUAAGCUGAUGUAAUAGCUACAUAUCUUACUAGGUAUAACUACAUAAUCGGGCCCCACCGAAUUUGUUCCUUCGCUUUCUGAAGAAUUGGUGUUUUGUAACGACAUUUAGUGUAGUUACAUUUCAAAUGACGUAGAUUACGAUUAUAAUGCUCUCCAGAUGGUGUAGAUUAGAACUGCAUACGAAUUCGUUGUGAAAAACUUCUUCGAAGACGGUUCGAUAUGGAAGAAUUUCGGAUGAUUCUCGUUUACUCGUAAUUUACUGAAAAAAAAAUUUUGUAUUAAUACAAUUUUGUACAAAUACCUUUCCAGUGGUAUAAAUUACGAUUUACUCUUUUACUUGUUUCAGUCUGUGCAAAUCGACCCCUGGACUUAGUCUUUGUAAGCCUAGUGCUUAUUCUAUCGAUCUCUUUUGCCGAACCGCUAAGUUACGUGGACGUAAACACACCAGCAUCGGUUGUCUGGCGAUGUUGGGGGGACAAACACAGGCACAAAAACGUACACACACACAUAUAUAUAUAUAUAUAUAUAUAUAUAUAUCACGUGACCGACCAGACCAUCAGAUGUUGUUACACAUCGCUGGUCACAAUGCGUUUGCAUUGUUUUAGCCUUCGAAUGAUGCCACCCCGCUGGCACAGCGAGCAGGCCAACAGAAGAAAGAGUGGGUGAAAGAGUACGGCAGGGAUCACCACCCCCUGCCGGAGCCUCGUGGAGCUUUUAGGUGUUUUCGCUCAAUAAACUCACAACUCCCAGUCUGGGAAUCGAAACCGCAAUCCUACGACCGCAAGUCCGCUGCCCUAACCACUUGGCCAUUGCUCCUCCACACACACACACACACACACACACACACACACACACAUAUAUCUAUAUAUAUAUAUCCCCCUCAGGUAGAUGGCCCUGCUCGAUCUGUAGAAAAGACGUAGGUAGAAACUCUAUAAG